UACGAAGGGGGGCUAGCGUUGUUCGGAAUUACUGGGCGUAAAGCGUGCGCAGGCGGUUUUGUAAGUCAGAUGUGAAAUCCCCGGGCUUAACCUGGGAACUGCGUUUGAAACUACAAGGCUAGAGUGUGGCAGAGGGGGGUGGAAUUCCACGUGUAGCAGUGAAAUGCGUAGAGAUGUGGAGGGACACCGAUGGCGAAGGCAGCCCCCUGGGUUAACACUGACGCUCAGGCACGAAAGCGUGGGGAGCAAACAGG
rnacentral:rRNA from 1 species